rnacentral:rRNA from 1 species
AUUGAACGCUGGCGGCAGGCCUAACACAUGCAAGUCGAACGGUAACAGGAAGAAGCUUGCUUCUUUGCUGACGAGUGGCGGACGGGUGAGUAAUGUCUGGGAAACUGCCUGAUGGAGGGGGAUAACUACUGGAAACGGUAGCUAAUACCGCAUAACGUCGCAAGACCAAAGAGGGGGGACCUUCGGGGCCUCUUGCCAUCGGAUGUGCCCAGAUGGGAUUAGCUAGUAGGUGGGGUAACGGCUCACCUAGGCGACGAUCCCUAGCUGGUCUGAGAGGAUGACCAGCCACACUGGAACUGAGACACGGUCCAGACUCCUACGGGAGGCAGCAGUGGGGAAUAUUGCACAAUGGGCGCAAGCCUGAUGCAGCCAUGCCGCGUGUAUGAAGAAGGCCUUCGG